GCGGGCGUGGCGAAACUGGUAGACGCGACGGACUUAAAAUCCGUUUCUUCACAGAGUGCCGGUUCGAGCCCGGCCGCCCGCACCA
rnacentral:tRNA from 1 species